rnacentral:rRNA from 1 species
UUCUUCUGACAAUUUACAAGGUGCUGCAUGGUUGUCGUCAGCUCGUCCCGUGAGGUGUCGGGUUAAGUCCCAUAACGAGCGCAACCCCUAUCUUUAGUUACCAGCACGUAAUGGUGGGGACUCUAAAGAGACUGCCUGGGUAACCAGAGAGGAAGGUGGCGAUGACGUCAAAUCAGCACGGCCCUUACGUCCAGGGCUACACACGUGUUACAAUGGUCGGUACAAAGGGCAGCUACCUAGCGAUAGGAUGCUAAUCUCUAAAACCGGUCUCAGUUCGGAUCGGAGUCUGCAACUUGACUCCGUGAAGCUGGAUUCGCUAGUAAUCGCAUAUCAGCCAUGAUGCGGUGAAUACGUUCCCGGGCCUUGUACACACCGCCCGUCAAACCAUGGAAGUUGGGCUACCGGAAGUCUGUUACC